rnacentral:rRNA from 1 species
AGUAAAUAGAUACCCCGGUAGUCCACGCCGUAAACGAUGAAUACUAGGUGUAGGAGGUAUCGACUCCUUCUGUGCCGCAGUUAAACAACAAUAAGUAUUCCGCCUGGGGAGUACGGUCGCAAGAUUAAGACUCAAAGGAAUUGACGGGGGCCCGGCACAAGCAGCGGAGCAUGUGGUUUUAAUUCGAAGCAACGCGAAGAACCUUACCUAGACUUGACAUCUUCUGCAUUAAUCGUAAUGGAUGAAAUCCCUUCGGGGACAGAAUGACAGGUGGUGCAUGGUUGUCGUCAGCUCGUGUCGUGAGAUGUUGGG